rnacentral:lncRNA from 1 species
CAGACUGUUUUCAUUCCCUUCACCUUUUUUCCUCUAGGAGAUGACAUAAAUGAUUUUGGGAGAGGGGGUUCAAUUUCCAUCAGUAUACACUGAGAAGCAGGUGCUUCUCUUUCUUUUUCUCACUUUCUCUGGGUCCUAUAGUGGAGGUCUAAUGCUAUGUGUUCAGCCUCCAGCCUGCCUGCACCCACUGCCACAGCAUCCACAUCCCCCUCUACUUUUC